rnacentral:tRNA from 1 species
CGUGGUGAAGCGGUCAAAGCACUGGUCUCCCAAUGCGGUGGUCCCAGGUUCAAUCCCCGGC